CCGGGCGCACGGGUGAGUAACGCGUAUCCAACCUGCCGUCUACUCUUGGCCAGCCUUCUGAAAGGAAGAUUAAUCCAGGAUGGGAUCAUGAGUUCACAUGUCCGCAUGAUUAAAGGUAUUUUCCGGUAGACGAUGGGGAUGCGUUCCAUUAGAUAGUAGGCGGGGUAACGGCCCACCUAGUCAACGAUGGAUAGGGGUUCUGAGAGGAAGGUCCCCCACAUUGGAACUGAGACACGGUCCAA
rnacentral:rRNA from 1 species